CUGUGUGAUUUUUGUUCUUUAGUAGAAGGAUAACAUGACAUAGCAGGAAUAAUACUGCCUUUUCUUUCUGGCAUGGAUCAAGAGAAAAGAAAAUACAAGAAAACAGACAGAAGCAAGGCAAGGUACUUCUAUGGAAGGGUGAGCCCUCACAGAUGGAGCAAUGGGGCGCGCACACCUGAACAAGGGAGGGGAAGGAGUUCUUAUCCCUGAUGCAUGUGACCCCUGCUGCUGUGUCCUUCCCCUAUUGGCUAAGGCUUCUGACAGCUUUGGAGAUUGUGACAUUGGAAUAAAGGAAAAACGUACAGGACUCAUGAAGCGCUGAAAUGUUCACAAAUAUCAAGCAAAAGUCAAUGAAAUUUAUUUUGAGCUAUUUACAUCAUUUAAUAAUUGAGCAAGGUAUACUCCUAUGAACAAAAUUUGGAGCAUGUUUGUCUCUCUCUGCCUGGCGUCUUCAGAAUUUGGAAACUAGUUAUGGUUUAUAAUCAGCUAUAGAAUUUUAACACGUGCUCUCAAAUGCAAGUUUCUGAUAACUUUGGAGAUUGUGACAUUGGAAUAAAGGAAGAGCUGGAAUGUUCAUGAAUAUCAAGCAAAAGUCAUGGAAAUUUAUUUUGAGCUAUUUACAGCAUUUAAUAAUUGAGCAAGGUAUACUCCUAUGAACAAAAUUUGGAGCAUGUUUGUCUCUCUCUGUCUGCCUGGCAUCUACAGAAUUUGGAAACUAGUUGUGCUGUACUGCAUGAGAAUGCCUGCAUUUAGUAUGCGAACUGGAAUUGGCAAAGGACGAUGGCUGCUCUCCCGCUAACUUUAAAUAAGUCAUGUCACAAAUUGCAUUCGUUCCCAGAUUUCCUAAACUUUCCAGAGAAAAUGGUCUUCUCCCUGGCUCAGCAAGAAGAUGAACUUUAAACACUGAGAAACUGGUCAUCUCCCUGGCUCAACCAGAAGAUGAACUUUAAACACUACUCUCAAUGACUUGAUGUUCCCAUCACUACUCCUGUCAUAAAGGGAGGGGACUCAGAUAUUGAGAAUUUUAUGAUAGUGUGAACUGUCUGGUAUGUCAUUUAAGUAAGCCCGUUGCUGAAAUAUUUUCCAUGUUAUUAGAAAGAGCUGAAGAGAGGGAUUGAGAUGGCUUCUUUAUUUUUUGUCUUUUGGGAAUUAAAGGAACCUGGUUCAACAAGGGCCUACACCUAAGUCUCUUGUUGUACCAGAGUACAAUUUAGGACUGCUCCUGAGGAAGGAAUUAGCUAGAAAUCUAGAGAGUAAGGGUAACAGAUUUACAUAGAAUAACAGCCUCAGUAUUUUUGGUUCCUCUCCAGUAAAGAUCACAAAGAAUAUUGCUAAAUCGCUAAAACACCUUUGCAAUAACGUAAGGGCUUACAACUAUAUACCAAUGUAGCUCAGUUACUAAACUGGAGUAAACUAAUUUCUCUUGUGUAGAAAAAUUGGUUGGCUGUGGUUUUAUAGCAGAUCUGCAAUUAUUAAUAGUUAUGCCAAUAAUCGUUUAACAGUGCAUAUGUUAAUAUAUAUGGAAAGACAAUGUGUAUAGACAGAUGUGUAAAAUUGAAAAAUAAACAUAUAACAAGAGAGAAACAUCUAUCGAACAGACAAUAUACAUACACAUCAAACACAACAGCAGUUUUAGUGACCAUAAUAUUUAUUUCUCAUUUUUACAUUGCUUACUUUAGUGACAACUGAAAAUGACAGUUGGCAAUGCAGCUAACAGUUUCAAUAAAAGUAUAAAACAAAAGACUGUGUACAAAGCACCUGUCUUUCCGCUUUUGUAAUCUUCCGUUGGAAAAAAUUUACACACCUAAGUAACCAUCUGUUUUCUUCAAGAAAAAAUCAUUCUUAUUUCUCUCUCUCAUCUUGAAAACAGCUGUCAGCCAGGAGGGCAGAGCUGAAAUUUAUUGCCACAUCACAUGAAGCAUAGAACAGACUCCACUACUCCUUGAGAUUCAAAACUUUGCCUCUCACAAAGUUACCUUUUAUUUUCCUCUUGUUUGUCACUCAUCUCCCCUAGUGUGCUCUUUUUAUUUCUUUUACUAUUAAUAAUAAAAUCUGUGGAUGACUGUAUUAU
rnacentral:lncRNA from 1 species